UUUUAUUUCUUUCUCUUGCCUAAUUGCUCUGGCUAGGACUUUUAAUUAUCCCACAGAGUUUCUGGUGGUCAGAAAUCUGAGGGUGGUUUUGCUUGUUCACUGUUGGUGGUAGCAUGCUACUGUGUGGCCUCUGGAAUCCUAUCAUCUCCAUGACUACUAGGGACCCUAGUUCUGAAAUAGCAUCUCUUAUCAUCAACUCUGGUCUACAGAGGAGAGCCACCACUCACCUCAAUGACACUGGUGUCCUCUACCAGCAAUUUCCUUAUUGCCUUGAUGCAUAAGUCCUCCAUACUCUUUCAAGAAUCAUAUUUAGCUGAUAAGUUUCCAGUUUCACAUAGUAGACCCUGUUUAGCAUGUACACUUUGGUGGGCCUUUCAAUCCCUUCCUCCACUCUGCCUGGCAACUCUGGCACCUCCACUUGAUUUAAUAGGGGCCACUGCUCUUACAAUCUCCUGAAGUCCAUCCCAACUAGAAAAACUAUUGGCUUGAUUGAUAGUUUAUUUUCAUUUCACCCAUAUAUUUCACUAAACUUUCUUCUGGCUUAGGAUUCAGCUGGAGUGAUGUGUGAUCCUGAGCUCUGAUUGGUGUUCCAAUUUUUCCCAUAAAAUUGAGGUUAAUACAAAGUGCAUGAGAUCAUUAUAAUCAGCUCAGUAAAAAGAACUGUGGGCACAAGAAGAGGUCAGAGAGUCCACAGAAGAGGAACAGACCCGGGAACAAAUAGCUUAAACUUACAAAAGAGCUAGCAUGAAGUCCUAUUUUUCAGGAAGAGGUGUCUAUAUAAGGCCAAUGUGAGGUUCAUUUUCAGGCAAUUUAUUAAUGUUAAUUGAGAGCUUUUUCUUCGUUUCAAAUAUUAUAGCCUUAUUUUUCCUGUCUGAACUCAAUAAACAGCUAGUAAAAUUAGCCAACAUGGACAAAAAUUAACACGGAAAAGGCCUGUGGUCAUAAAACACAUUAACUAUUCAGCAUUGAGACUAUUUUUAUUUCUAUCUUCUGCCAGAAAAUUAGCAGCAAUUAAAACUAUAAUUUUUUUUCUUAUUUCCAUAUAGGCCUGAGAGGUUAAAAUAGAAAGUUAAAUAACGUGAGUGACAUACCAAAUGACCCAGCAAGUGUUUGACUGAGAUAAGUUUUAACACUUCUGCUAAAAAAUUGAAAAACUGUCACUUCCUUGUUAGAGCUGAAAAUAGUCAGCUCUUACAAAUUGUUCUUCCUGAUGCAAAUCCAUAUUAAGCUUUGUAUUAUUAACACGAAUCACUCAAAACAAUUCCAAAUGGGACUUAGGGAGAAUUGUGUAAUAAAUAAUACUAGAUUGUUGAUAAAGCAUUUAAUCCAGUUUAAAUGAGUGCUUUACCCCAAGAGAGCUGACUUGAGCUUUUUUUCCUUUCCUUCUAUAAAUUCAAGGCCUACAUACAAAUUCAAUUUAAUAAAUAUGUAUUAUGCAGCUGUUAGGUAAAAAUUCAGUGACUAGGUGCUUCCAGGACUACAAAUGUGAAGAAGAUGUAGUGAAUACUAUGUAAAUUACAAUGUAAUUGUGGUAAUGAAUAUGAAAAAUGUAUAAUUUAUUACAAUGGAAGGCAGCAUAAAAACUGACUAUUCAGUGAAGGUGUGGAUUACUUUUAAUGUGAUGAAAAAGGAAUUUAUAAAAGAAAUGAUAUUUGGGGUAGGCUUAGAAGUCUGUGCAGCAUUUCAGAAGUUGGUGACGGCCCUUUAGGGUGAUCAUUCUGGGGAAGGGUCUUUCUUUCAUGAAACAGGUAAUGGAGAACUGAAAGCUCAUGGUGUGUUCAGAGAACAGCUAGCAGAGGAGAGGAGGAAAGAAGAGAAGGAAGGAAGAAGAUCAAGCUGAAAUGGUACUACGGGGACUCUUAAUGCUCCAUUAAGCCAAAUGGUUUGGACUUCAUCUGUAAGUAAUAGGGAGCCAAUGAAGAGUGUGGGACAGGAGAGUAAUUCAAUUCAGUAUGUAUUUUGAAUUGAUGGCUAUGAUAGUGACUAAGGAGAAUUAGAAAGUAGAGGCAGUUAGACUAGUUCGGUGGCUGUAGAAAUAGUCUAGGUGGGAGAGGAGGUCACAUUUCAAAGGACCUUGAAGAAAUGGGCACCUGUGGUGGAGAUAUUGUGUUGUCUCCCAAUGUCUGUUUGUUCCUUCUUGCUUUACUUAUAACCCCCCUCACCUUUCACUGGGUGCAUCUCCAUUCGGCAUAAAGAUUAAUCCCUGCCUCCUUGGCAGUUAGAUGGGGUCAUGUGUCUAAGGUCUGGCUAGCAGACAUAAAUGGAAGCAGUCUCUGCAACUUCUGCAGAAUGACCCUAACGGAAGGGAUUCACUUUUCUUUAUCUUUUCUCCUUUCUGAUGGUUGGAGGCUGGCCAUGGUGGCUACAACUGGAGCAGCCAUUUGGGUGGUGAGGUGAGUUCAAGAUGGAAGCCAAGCACAACCUAGAAGGACCCUGACUCCCUGACACCAUGGUUUGCCAUAUGGGACCUGGACUGAUUCCCUUUGGAACUUUAUCUGAGAGAAAUAAACUUCUGUCUUGCUUAAGCCAUUUUUAUGGUGUCUUUCUGUCAUUUGUAGCUAAUCCUAAUCCUAAUUUUUACAUUAUCCUUCCAUAAGCUGUGAAGAGCCACAAAAAGUUUUAUGCGGGGGAAUGAAAUGAUGAAUAUCAUCUAUUGCAAGAGAUUCUAUGCCCG
rnacentral:lncRNA from 10 species